AGCGAACGCUGGCGGCAUGCUUAACACAUGCAAGUCGCACGGGCAGUAGCAAUACUGUCAGUGGCGACGGGUGAGUAACGCGUAGGAAUCUAUCCUUGGAAUGGGGGACAACCGUGGGAAACUACGGCUAAUACCGCAUGAUGCCUGAGGGCCAAAGACGAAAGUCGUUUGAGGAGGAGCCUGCGUCUGAUUAGGUAGUUGGUGGGGUAAAGGCCUACCCAAGCCUACGAUCAGUAGCUGGUCUGAGAGGAUGAUCAGCCGCAUUGGGACUGAGACACGGCCCAAACUCCUACGGGAGGCAGCAGUGGGGAAUAUUGGACAAUGGGCGCAAGCCUGAUCCAGCAAUGCCGCGUGGGUGAAGAAGGUCUUCGGAUUGUAAAGCCCUUUUGGCGGAGGACANGUGACGGUACCCGCAGAAUAAGCUCCGGCUAACUUCGUG
rnacentral:rRNA from 1 species